rnacentral:rRNA from 1 species
AGGGGAAUAUUGAGCAAUGGGCGAAAGCAUGAAGCAGCGACGCCGUGGGAGGGAGGAAGGUUUUCGGAAUGUAAACCUCUGUCAGAAGGAAAGAAACCGCACGGUGCUAAUCAGCAGUGACUAGAAGGUACCUUCAAAGGAAGCACGGGCUAACCCCGGGCCAGCAGCCGCGGUAAUACGGAGGGUGCAAGCGUUAAUCGGAAUUACUGUGCGUAAAGCGCACGUAGGCAGCUUUGUAAGUCAGGGGUGAAAUCCCACGGCUCAACCGUGGAACUGCCUUUGUUACUGCUUCGCUUGAGUCCGUCGGAGUGUGGCGGAAUUCCAGCUGUAGGGGUGCAAUCCGUAGAUAUCUGGAGGACCAUCAGUGGCGAAAACGGCCUCCUUGACCGGUAUUGACGCUGAGAUGCGAAAGCGUGGGGAGCAAACAUG